AUGUCUAACCGCGGUAUAACAGUGUCCGGGACAGCGUAUGGUGGGUAGUUUGACUGGGGCGGUCGCCUCCUAAAGAGUAACGGAGGCGCGCGAUGGUGGGCUCAGAACGGUCGGAAAUCGUUCGUCGAGUGCAAUGGCAUAAGCCCGCCUGACUGCAAGACUGACAAGUCGAGCAGAGACGAAAGUCGGUCAUAGUGAUCCGGUGGUCCCGCGUGGAAGGGCCAUCGCUCAACGGAUAAAAGGUACUCUAGGGAUAACAGGCUGAUUUUGCCCAAGAGUCCAUAUCGACGGCAAAGUUUGGCACCUCGAUGUCGGCUCAUCGCAUCCUGGGGCUGGAGCAGGUCCCAAGGGUAUGGCUGUUCGCCAUUUAAAGCGGUACGUGAGUUGGGUUCAGAACGUCGUGAGACAGUUCGGUCCCUAUCUGCCGUGGGUGUAGGAAUAUUGAAAGGAUCUGUCCCUAGUACGAGAGGACCGGGAUGGACGUAUCUCUGGUGGAUCUGUUGUCGUGCCAACGGCAUAGCAGGGUAGCUAUAUACGGACGGGAUAACCGCUGAAGGCAUCUAAGCGGGAAACCCACCUAAAAACGAGUAUUCCCUAUCAGAGCCGUGGAAGACUACCACGUUGAUAGGCCGGGUGUGGAAGUGCGGCAACGCAUGUAGCUUACCGGUACUAAUAGCUCGAUCGACUUGAUCAU
rnacentral:ncRNA from 1 species